rnacentral:snRNA from 1 species
GGGCUUGCUUUGGCAGCACAUAUACAAAAAUUGGAAUGAUACCGAGAAGAUUAGCAUGGCCCCUGUGCAAGGAUGACACGCAAAUUUGUGAAGCAUUCCAUAUUUUU